rnacentral:rRNA from 1 species
UACGUAGGGUGCAAGCGUUGUCCGGAAUUAUUGGGCGUAAAGAGCUCGUAGGCGGUUUGUUGCGUCGGCUGUGAAAUCCCGAGGCUCAACCUCGGGUCUGCAGCCGAUACGAGCAAACUAGAGUGUUGCAGGGGAGACUGGAAUUCCUGGUGUAGCGGUGAAAUGCGCAGAUAUCAGGAGGAACACCGGUGGCGAAGGCGGGUCUCUGGGCAACAACUGACGCUGAGGAGCGAAAGCGUGGGGAGCGAACAGG